rnacentral:lncRNA from 1 species
ACAAAUGGUCAAUCUGAGUCAACCUUUGGACAGAAAAAGUAUGAAGCUGGAAAGGAUGUUACCUGCUUUGACUUCAAGCAACCUGGACAUUACAAAAAUGAGUGUCCUAAACUCAUGCCUAAAAAGAAAUUCUUCAUAGAAAAUAAGAAGUUUCUUAUGGCUACUUGGGAUGACUCAUAAGCUUCAAAGGAAGUUUUUG